rnacentral:tRNA from 1 species
GGAGUGAUGGCUCAGCGGUUAACAGCACUGACUGUUCUUCAGAAGGUCCUGAGUUCAAAUCCCAGCAACCACA